UACGGGGGGAGCAAGCGUUGUUCGGAUUUACUGGGCGUAAAGGGCGCGUAGGCGGUCAGCACGAGUCAGUUGUGAAAUCUCCGGGCUUAACCCGGAAAGGUCAACUGAUACUGUGCGACUAGAGUGCGGAAGGGGCAACUGGAAUUCUCGGUGUAGCGGUGAAAUGCGUAGAUAUCGAGAGGAACACCUGCGGCGAAGGCGGGUUGCUGGGCCGACACUGACGCUGAUGCGCGAAAGCCAGGGGAGCGAACGGG
rnacentral:rRNA from 1 species